AUUGAACGCUGGCGGCAUGCCUUACACAUGCAAGUCGAACGGCAGCACGGGUGCUUGCCCCUGGUGGCGAGUGGCGAACGGGUGAGUAAUACAUCGGAACAUGUCCUGUAGUGGGGGAUAGCCCGGCGAAAGCCGGAUUAAUACCGCAUACGAACUACGGAUGAAAGCGGGGGCCCUUCUGACCUCGCGCUAUAGGGUUGGCCGAUGGCUGAUUAGCUAGUUGGUGGGGUAAAGGCCUACCAAGGCGACGAUCAGUAGCUGGUCUGAGAGGACGACCAGCCACACUGGGACUGAGACACGGCCCAGACUCCUACGGGAGGCAGCAGUGGGGAAUUUUGGACAAUGGGCGAAAGCCUGAUCCAGCAAUGCCGCGUGUGUGAAGAAGGCCUUCGGGUUGUAAAGCACUUUUGUCCGGAAAGAAAUCCUUGGCCCUAAUACGGUCGGGGGAUGACGGUACCGGAAGAAUAAGCACCGGCUAACUACGUG
rnacentral:rRNA from 1 species